UACGGAGGACCCGAGCGUUAUCCGGAUUUAUUGGGUUUAAAGGGUGCGUAGGCGGAUUAGUAAGUUAGAGGUGAAAGCUCGAUGCUCAACAUCGAAAUUGCCUCUGAUACUGUUAGUCUAGAGUAUAGUUGCGGAAGGCGGAAUGUGUGGUGUAGCGGUGAAAUGCUUAGAUAUCACACAGAACACCGAUUGCGAAGGCAGCUUUCCAAGCUAUUACUGACGCUGAUGCACGAAAGCGUGGGGAGCGAACAGGAUUAGAUACCCUGGUAGUCCACGCCGUAAACGAUGAUAACUCGUUGCAGGCGAUACACAGUCUGUGACUUAGCGAAAGCGUUAAGUUAUCCACCUGGGGAGUACGUUCGCAAGAAUGAA
rnacentral:rRNA from 1 species